GUAUGUAGCUCAGUGGUAGAAUGCUUGCCUUGCAUGUAUGAGGCACUGGGUUUGAUCCUCAGCACCACA
rnacentral:tRNA from 1 species